UGAGGAAUAUUGGGCAAUGCCCGCAAGGGUGACCCAGCAACGCCGCGUGGAGGAUGAAUGUCGUAAGAUUGUAAACUCCUGUUAGAGGGGAAGAAUAGUACCGGUUGGACCGGUAUAUGACUGUACCCUCAGAGAAAGCCCCGGCUAACUACGUGCCAGCAGCCGCGGUAAUACGUAGGGGGCAAGCGUUGUCCGGAUUUACUGGGUGUAAAGGGCGCGCAGGCGGGAUAAAAAGUCAGUGGUGAAAUCCUACAGCUUAACUGUAGAACUGCCUUUGAUACUUUUAUUCUUGAGUUCGGGAGAGAGAGACGGAAUUCCAGGUGUAGUGGGGAAAUACGUAGAUAUCUGGAAGAACACCAGUUGCGAAGGCGGUCUCUUGGUCCGACACUGACGCUGAGGCGCGAAAGCGUGGGGAGCAAACA
rnacentral:rRNA from 1 species